UACGAAGGGGGCUAGCGUUGUUCGGAUUUACUGGGCGUAAAGCGCACGUAGGCGGAUCGUUAAGUCGGGGGUGAAAUCCUGGAGCUCAACUCCAGAACUGCCUUCGAUACUGGCGAUCUUGAGUCCGGAAGAGGUGAGCGGAAUUCCUAGUGUAGAGGUGGAAUUCGUAGAUAUUAGGAAGAACACCAGUGGCGAAGGCGGCUCACUGGUCCGGUACUGACGCUGAGGUGCGAAAGCGUGGGGAGCAAACAGG
rnacentral:rRNA from 1 species